GUGAGUCAUCGAAUCUUUGAACGCACAUUGCGCCCCUUGGUAUUCCUCGGGGCAUGCCUGUUCGAGCGCCGUUUCAAACUUAAGGAUUUACCUUGCGUUGAUGUUAUCCGUUUUCGGAUUCAUCGAAACACUUUGGCGUCUUCCUGUUCUCUCAGCGUAGCAAGUCAUCGCUUUAAGAGCAACAAAGAAGGCCGCCUGUGCUCACGAGUUUGGCCUCGAAUCAGGUAGGGAUACCCGCUGAACUUAAGCAUAUCAAUAAGCGGAGGA
rnacentral:misc_RNA from 1 species